rnacentral:pre_miRNA from 1 species
AAUGGGCAAAUUAGUUCCUGUAUGUUAGAUUAAAGAGUAAACUACAUUCUGUUAAAAUUUUUAUCCAUUUCUACAAUUUGUUAAAAACUAGCAUGGCUAAUGGAAUAACCGGAUAGUUAUACGUGGCGUACUACUUGCACCUCAUGCUAACGUAUAGGGACCAAAUUUUAACAGUAAAAGUGGAUGGAAUUUUUAAUAAAAGGACGAGUUUGCUCUUUGAUCUAAUGUAUGGAGACUAGUUUGCCUAU